rnacentral:rRNA from 1 species
AGUGAACGCUGGCGGUAGGCCUAACACAUGCAAGUCGAACGGCAGCACAGUAAGAGCUUGCUCUUACGGGUGGCGAGUGGCGGACGGGUGAGGAAUACAUCGGAAUCUACUUUUUCGUGGGGGAUAACGUAGGGAAACUUACGCUAAUACCGCAUACGACCUACGGGUGAAAGCAGGGGAUCUUCGGACCUUGCGCGAUUGAAUGAGCCGAUGUCGGAUUAGAUAGUUGGCGGGGUAAAGGCCCACCAAGGCGACGAUCCGUAGCUGGUCUGAGAGGAUGGUCAGCGACACUGGAACUGAGACACGGUCCAGACUCCUACGGGAGGCAGCAGUGUGGAAUAUUGGACAAUGGGCGCAAGCCUGAUCCAGCCAUACCGCGUGGGUGAAGAAGGCCUUCGGGUUGUAAAGCCCUUUUGUUGGGAAAGAAAAGCAGCAGGUUAAUACCCCGCUGUUCUGACGGUACCCAAAGAAUAAGCACCGGCUAACUUCGUG